GGGGAUUUAGCUCAGUGGUAGAGCGCUUGCCUAGCAAGCUCAAGGCCCUGGGUUCAGUCCCUA
rfam:Rattus norvegicus chromosome 6, whole genome shotgun sequence.